CUCAACCUCAAGGCGUGCAGUGGAUACUGGCAGGCUUGAGAGCGGGGGAGGUCAGGGGUACUUACGGGGUAUGAGUAAAAUCAGUUGAUCCUGUAGGGACCACCAGUGGCGAAGGCGCCUGACCAAAACGCGUCUGACAGUGAGGGUCGAAGGCUAGGAGAACAAAUCGGAUUAGAUACCCGAGUAGCCCUAGCAGUAAAUUAUGCAGACUGUGGUGUUGCCGCGGCUUCGGGCCACGGCAGUGCUGUAGCGUAGGUGUUAAGUCUGCCACCUGGGGAGUACGGCCGCAAGGUUGAAACUUAAAGGAAUUGGCGGGGGAGCACCACAAGGGGUGGAUGCUGCGGUUCAAUUGGAUUCAACGCCGG
rnacentral:rRNA from 1 species